AUUGAACGCUGGCGGCAGGCCUAACACAUGCAAGUCGAGCGGAUGACGGGAGCUUGCUCCUUGAUUCAGUGGCGGACGGGUGAGUAAUGCCUAGGAAUCUGCCUGGUAGUGGGGGACAACGUUUCGAAAGGAACGCUAAUACCGCAUACGUACUACGGGAGAAAGCAGGGGACCUUCGGGCCUUGCGCUAUCAGAUGAGCCUAGGUCGGAUUAGCUAGUUGGUGGGGUAAUGGCUCACCAAGGCGACGAUCCGUAACUGGUCUGAGGGGAUGAUCAGUCACACUGGAACUGAGACACGGUCCAGACUCCUACGGGAGGCAGCAGUGGGGAAUAUUGGACAAUGGGCGAAAGCCUGAUCCAGCCAUGCCGCGUGUGUGAAGAAGGUCUUCGGAUUGUAAAGCACUUUAAGUUGGGAGGAAGGGCAGUAAGUUAAUACCUUGCUGUUUUGACGUUACCGACAGAAUAAGCACCGGCUAACUCUGUGCCAGCCGCCGCGGUAA
rnacentral:rRNA from 1 species